ACAGACCACAAACCACUUCUAUACCUCAAUCGAGCAAAAUGUAUCAACAGUAGGGUAAUGAGGUGGGCCCUUUCCCUCCAGCCAUUUCGCUACCGCAUUGAGGCAAUUUGCGGCUCCGAGAACGUAGGAGCAGACUUUCUAAGUAGGUUGUAAAAAAAAAAAUGCACCAAAACAUUGAAAUGCAUGCAAUUUAUAAGAUUGAAAAUUGUAUUGCAGAAUUAAAAUGAUUUAAUUUGAUUUAAAUUUGGAAAACAUUUAAGUCGAAUCUUUAUACACCUAUACAAAUGGAGUAAAUUACUGUAGGUGCUAUAUAGUGAGCAUAAUAAUAUUUCACAUUUAUUAUGCGAAUCAUAUAUUUUUACUUUGAAUAAGAUUUAACUCGUUUUUGGAAGAAAAUCAGAGCAUUUUCAUGAAAUUGGGGAGCAAUUGUAGGAUCUUAUUCAAAACUAGAUAACCCUUUUGUUAAAGUCCAUGUUUUGUUAAACUCCAUGUACAGAUGUGGACUGCAUACCUUAGUAACUAAACUGUAGGCAUGAUAGGUUGCCAGGUAUUUUAACAGGCUGGGUUGUCAUAAUAAGUAGACUAUGGUUUAACAGGUGUAUAGGAUUACAGACUCUUUGUGUUUCAUAUUUCUGUUUGGUGUGCUGGCAAGAAAAGCCAAGCCAGCUCACUCUCACUUUUGAUUUCGGAGAAGGUCCAAUUUGGGGUGUUUCCUAACCAAGGAAAAGGGCGUGUGCCACCCUACCCUGUGCAGGGAGGUUCCUUUCUACUCGAUGCCGAAUUACGGCUGUCAACCUAGGGUCAGCCCAGAGUCAAUGUGGAGUCAAUGUAGGUCAGGGUAGCACCUACCCUCUAUGUCCAGGUCAUGAGUCACAAUGUCAUUCGAGGGGAAUGACUCACUUCAGUCAGCCGAAGCUACUGUUCGUCGGACUCGACCGUAAUUCUUCCAAGUUAGAGCUUCAACUCAACUCUUGUUCUUCGUUCUUCAAGGACACGUGUCUUCGCUGAUGACGUCAGUUGUGUUCUUCGUCGUCGUCGAUCAUCGGCAUACUUGUUCCUCGUCAUAAUCGUCCAAUCUUCGUAGUCGUCGUGGUUUGUCGAUCUCUUCUGUUUUCGAACUCCGCAUUUACCCGAUUGAAGGUUUGAUCAAGCAAU